CUCCGACUUCAUGUGGGCGGGUUGCAGCCCACAAUCCGAACUGGGACCACUUUUUUGAGAUUAGCUCCCCCUUACGGUCUCGCUGCCCUCUGUAGUGGCCAUUGUAGCACGUGUGUAGCCCAGGUCAUAAGGGGCAUGAUGAUUUGACGUCGUCCCCACCUUCCUCCGAGUUGUCCCCGGCAGUCUUAUCAGAGUCCUCGGCUUUACCCGUUAGUAACUGAUCACAAGGGUUGCGCUCGUUGCGGGACUUAACCCAACAUCUCACGACACGAGCUGACGACAACCAUGCACCACCUGUCUCAGUAUGAGCAAGCUCACACCUGAUCUCUCAGGUUUUUACUGGAUGUCAAGACCUGGUAAGGUUCUUCGCGUUGCUUCGAAUUAAACCACAUGCUCCGCUGCUUGUGCGGGCCCCCGUCAAUUCCUUUGAGUUUCAACCUUGCGGCCGUACUCCCCAGGCGGAAUGCUUAUUGUGUUGACUCCGGCACAGAA
rnacentral:rRNA from 1 species